rnacentral:rRNA from 1 species
CAGCCGCCGCGGGAAUACGGAGGGGGCUAGCGUUGUUCGGAAUUACUGGGCGUAAAGCGCACGUAGGCGGCUUGGUAAGUUAGAGGUGAAAGCCCGGAGCUCAACUCCGGAAUUGCCUUUAAGACUGCCGAGCUAGUAGGUGAGAGAGGUAAGUGGAAUUCCGAGUGUAGAGGUGAAAUUCGUAGAUAUUCGGAAGAACACCAGUGGCGAAGGCGGCUUACUGGCUCAUUCUAGACGCUGAGGCACGAAAGCGUGGGGAGCAAACAGGAUUAGAUACCCGAGUAGUCCCUGUCUCUUAUAA